AACGAACGCUGGCGGCAGGCCUAAUACAUGCAAGUCGAGCGCGCCCUUCGGGGUGAGCGGCGGACGGGUGAGUAACGCGUGGGAAUAUGCCCUUCUCUAAGGAAUAGCCUCUGGAAACGGAGAGUAAUACCUUAUACGCCCUUUGGGGGAAAGAUUUAUCGGAGAAGGAUUAGCCCGCGUUAGAUUAGGUAGUUGGUGGGGUAAUGGCCUACCAAGCCUACGAUCUAUAGCUGGUUUGAGAGGAUGAUCAGCCACACUGGGACUGAGACACGGCCCAGACUCCUACGGGAGGCAGCAGUAGGGAAUCUUAGACAAUGGGGGCAACCCUGAUCUAGCCAUGCCGCGUGUGUGAUGAAGGCCCUAGGGUCGUAAAGCACUUUCGCCAGAGAUGAUAAUGACAGUAUCUGGUAAAGAAACCCCGGCUAACUCCGUGCCAGCAGCCGCGGUAAUACGGAGGGGGUUAGCGUUGUUCGGAAUUACUGGGCGUAAGGCGCACGUAGGCGGAUUAGUAAGUUAGAGGUGAAAUCCCAGGGCUCAACCCUGGAACUGCCUUUAAUACUGCUAGUCUUGAGUUCGAGAGAGGUAAGUGGAAUUCCGAGUGUAGAGGUGAAAUUCGUA
rnacentral:rRNA from 1 species